GUGGGGAAUAUUGCACAAUGGGCGCAAGCCUGAUGCAGCAACGCCGCGUGAGGGAUGACGGCCUUCGGGUUGUAAACCUCUUUUAGUAGGGAAGAAGCGUAAGUGACGGUACCUGCAGAAAAAGCACCGGCUAACUACGUGCCAGCAGCCGCGGUAAUACGUAGGGUGCAAGCGUUGUCCGGAAUUAUUGGGCGUAAAGAGCUCGUAGGCGGCUUGUCGCGUCUGCCGUGAAAACCCAGGGCUCAACUCUGGGCGUGCGGUGGGUACGGGCAGGCUAGAGUGCGGUAGGGGAGAUUGGAAUUCCUGGUGUAGCGGUGGAAUGCGCAGAUAUCAGGAGGAACACCGAUGGCGAAGGCAGAUCUCUGGGCCGUAACUGACGCUGAGGAGCGAAAGCAUGGGGAGCGAACAGGAUUAGAAACCCGGGUAGUCC
rnacentral:rRNA from 1 species